GGGGAAUUUUCCGCAAUGGGCGAAAGCCUGACGGAGCAAGACCGCGUGGGGGAUGAAGGUUUGUGGAUUGUAAACCCCUUUUGAUUGGGAAGAAUACUGACGGUACCAAUCGAAUAAGCCUCGGCUAACUCCGUGCCAGCAGCCGCGGNUAAUACGGAGGAGGCAAGCGUUAUCCGGAAUUAUUGGGCGUAAAGCGUCCGUAGGUGGUUUAGUAAGUCUGCUGUUAAAGCGCGGGGCUUAACUCCGUAUCGGCAGUGGAAACUACUAGACUAGAGUGUGGUAGGGGUAGAGGGAAUUCCCAGUGUAGCGGUGAAAUGCGUAGAUAUUGGGAAGAACACCGGUGGCGAAAGCGCUCUACUGGGCCAUAACUGACACUGAUGGACGAAAGCUAGGGGAGCGAAAGGGAUUAGAUACCCCUGNUAGUC
rnacentral:rRNA from 1 species